rnacentral:rRNA from 1 species
UACGUAGGUGGCAAGCGUUGUCCGGAUUUAUUGGGUUUAAAGGGUGCGUAGGCGGUCUUAUAAGUCAGUGCUGAAAUAUCCCGGCUUAACCGGGAGGGUGGCAUUGAUACUGCAAGACUUGAGUAGAGUUGAGGUUGGCGGAAUUGACGGUGUAGCGGUGAAAUGCGUAGAUAUCGGGAGGAACACCAGCGGCGAAGGCGGCAACCUGGACAAGUACUGACACUCAACUACGAAAGCGUGGGGAGCAAACAGG